rnacentral:rRNA from 1 species
UGCCUACGGGAGGCAGCAGUGGGGGAUAUUGCACAAUGGGGGAAACCCUGAUGCAGCGACGCCGCGUGUGGGAAGACGGUCCUCUGGAUUGUAAACCACUGUCCCCAGGGACGAAGAUGACGGUACCUGGGGAGGAAGCCCCGGCUAACUACGUGCCAGCAGCCGCGGUAAUACGUAGGGAGCGAGCGUUGUCCGGAUUUACUGGGUGUAAAGGGUGCGUAGGCGGCCCUGCAAGUCAGAAGUGAAAUCCAUGGGCUUAACCCGUGAACUGCUUUUGAAACUGCAGGACUUGAGUGGAGUAGAGG